rnacentral:tRNA from 1 species
GCCUUCAUGGUGUAGUGGUUAGCACACUCGACGUGUAACCGAGAGGUCUCUGGUUCAAAUCCCAGCAAAGGCG